GACGAACGCUGGCGGCGUGCUUAACACAUGCAAGUCGAACGGAAAGGCCUUUUCGGUGGUACUCGAGUGGCGAACGGGUGAGUAACACGUGGGUGAUCUGCCCUGCCCUCUGGGUUAAGCCUGGGAAACUGGGUCUAAUUACGGAUAGGACCGCACUCUUGCUUGUGUGGUGGAAUGUUUUUUCGGUGUCGGAUGAGCCCGCGGCCUCUCAGGUUGUUGGUGGGGUAGUGGGCUACCCAGGCGGCGACGGGGAGCCGGACUGGGGGGUUGGUCGGGCACAUUUGGGCUGGGAAACGGCCCAGACUCCCUCGGGGGGCAAGAGGUGGGAAUAAUUCAAAAAGGGGGGAAGCCUGAUUCAAGGACGGCGCGGGGGGGGUGAAGGCCUUCGGGUUGUAAACUCCUUUCGCCAGGGACGAAGCGGUGUGUGACGGUAACGGGAGAAGAAGCACCGGCUAACUACGUG
rnacentral:rRNA from 1 species